CCCAACCCACCAUCGACAUCAUCAAUGCUGGGGUACGUCUGGGGCUCGCUCUGGGCGGCCAGAUCAAAGCCACAUAUGGUCAGGGGCGGCCAGAUCGAUCUGGUGGCAGGCGCCUCGGUUGAGAUUGAGCUGCAACGGUGACCAGGAACGAGCGCAGCGCAGGUGACGUCGACGAGUGGCUUGAGCAGGCUGGGACUUGGGAAGGUGACUGCAGCACCCAGCAGCUUGAGCCGGGACUUCGGAUGGCGACGUCGCAGCACCCGGCAAGGCGUAAUUGACUCAGGACUUCGGACCGCAACGUCGGCGAACUUCUUGUGGUGAGUGACAGGCCCAGCUCACUCUGGGUAGCGAGCGGCGCGGCGACGAGCUCCAGCCUCUACUGUGACUCCGAUCGACUGAUUUAUCUUGGCCAAGCCCGAUGAAGGGAGGCGAUUCGUCCGACGAAGCAGGAGAGCGUCAUUCUGCCGAAGUAGGAGGGAGGGGGGAGCGUGAUUCGCCCGGCGAAGCGGGAGAGCGCGAUUCAUGAGCUUCCUUAGCCGACGCCAUUCUUCAGAAUCUAUAUCUACAUCUAGAGGCAUCGUGGACGUUUGCUUCGGUUCUUCUGACCAACUCUAUCCGCUGCAAGCUUUUUGAUGCCGGCACGGGAGGGGACAGCGACGUCACAUACAUGGAAUCUGCCUAAGUACAAUGUCACUGCCACUCCGCUGGAGAAUUCUGGUGUCCUUAGGUUUUGAGAGCUGAAUUUGUGUGACAUGUGUUUGAAUUGGUUCAGUGUGCUGGGAACAGGAGGACCAAAAUGAGCAAGAGUAGGAAGGUUUGAGGCAUCAGUUGGGAUGUCUGUGCUCUUGGGAAUGGUUAGUGUACUUCACUACUCAAUGCAACACAAUGGCUGGAGAAUGACAACCUCCUACACUACUAACCGGUGAUGAAGAACAUUAGCCGAUGAGCAUACUAUCAGCAUCGAUGGAUAACAUGAUAUGAAAGCCAGAGGAAAAUAUUGGUGUUUGAUUAUAAAUUUUGUGACUGUUGUUAAUUCACUAAGCACUCGGAUUCUAUGGUGGCCAUUGUGGAUAUUAUGGAUAUAUUUUAUAUGUGAAGAGAUGUUGGACUAAGCCGAGCCUCGUGUAGUCCAAUUAGCUCAUUUUGUAUUCGGAUCUGUUUUAACAUG